rnacentral:rRNA from 1 species
GAUCAUGGCUCAGUAAGUCGUAGCAAGGUACCCGUAUAGUUUGAUCAUGGCUCAAGUAGUCGUGAGCGGCUGCCCUGGACUCUGGGAUAAGCGCUGGAAACGGUGUCUAAUACCGGAUAUGAGCCACGGCCGCAUGGUCGGUGGUUGGAAAGAUUUUUUGGUCUGGGAUGGGCUCGCGGCCUAUCAGCUUGUUGGUGAGGUAAUGGCUCACCAAGGCGUCGACGGGUAGCCGGCCUGAGAGGGUGACCGGCCACACUGGGACUGAGACACGGCCCAGACUCCUACGGGAGGCAGCAGUGGGGAAUAUUGCACAAUGGGCGGAAGCCUGAUGCAGCAACGCCGCGUGAGGGAUGACGGCCUUCGGGUUGUAAACCUCUUUUAGCAGGGAAGAAGCGUGAGUGACGGUACCUGCAGAAAAAGCGCCGGCUAACUACGUGCCAGCAGCCGCGGUAAUACGUAGGGCGCAAGCGUUAUCCGGAAUUAUUGGGCGUAAAGAGCUCGUAGGCGGUUUGUCGCGUCUGCUGUGAAAUCCCGAGGCUCAACUUCGGGCUUGCAGUGGGUACGGGCAGACUAGAGUGCGGUAGGGGAGAUUGGAAUUCCUGGUGUAGCGGUGGAAUGCGCAGAUAUCAGGAGGAACACCGAUGGCGAAGGCAGAUCUCUGGGCCGUAACUGACGCUGAGGAGCGAAAGGGUGGGGAGCAAACAGGCUUAGAUACCCUGGUAGUCCACCCCGUAAACGUUGGGAACUAGUUGUGGGGGCCAUUCCACGGUCUCCGUGACGCAGCUAACGCAUUAAGUUCCCCGCCUGGGGAGUACGGCCGCAAGGCUAAAACUCAAAGGAAUUGACGGGGACCCGCACAAGCGGCGGAGCAUGCGGAUUAAUUCGAUGCAACGCGAAGAACCUUACCAAGGCUUGACAUACACCAGAACACCGUAGAAAUACGGGACUCUUUGGACACUGGUGAACAGGUGGUGCAUGGUUGUCGUCAGCUCGUGUCGUGAGAUGUUGGGUUAAGUCCCGCAACGAGCGCAACCCUCGUUCUAUGUUGCCAGCACGUUAUGGUGGGAACUCAUGGGAUACUGCCGGGGUCAACUCGGAGGAAGGUGGGGAUGACGUCAAAUCAUCAUGCCCCUUAUGUCUUGGGCUUCACGCAUGCUACAAUGGCCGGUACAAAGGGCUGCAAUACCGUGAGGUGGAGCGAAUCCCAAAAAGCCGGUCCCAGUUCGGAAUGAGGUCUGCAACUCGACCUCAUGAAGUAGGAGUCGCUUAUAAUCGCAGAUCAGCACCGUAGCUGGGAACACGUUACCGGUUGAGUACACCACGGCUCACUAAUUCGUAACAAGGUAACCGUAGAG